GCGGGUGUGGCGGAAUUGGUAGACGCACCAGAUUUAGGUUCUGGCGCCGCGAGGCGUGGGGGUUCAAGUCCCUUCACCCGCACCA
rnacentral:tRNA from 12 species